rnacentral:rRNA from 1 species
CUCCUGGAAACGGGUGGUAAUGCCGGAUGUUCCACAUGAUCGCAUGUGAUUGUGGGAAAGAUUUCAUCGGCGUGGGAUGGGGUCGCGUCCUAUCAGCUUGUUGGUGAGGUAACGGCUCACCAAGGCUUCGACGGGUAGCCGGCCUGAGAGGGCGACCGGCCACAUUGGGACUGAGAUACGGCCCAGACUCCUACGGGAGGCAGCAGUGGGGAAUAUUGCACAAUGGGCGCAAGCCUGAUGCAGCGACGCCGCGUGAGGGAUGGAGGCCUUCGGGUUGUAAACCUCUUUUGUUUGGGAGCAAGCCUUCGGGUGAGUGUACCUUUCGAAUAAGCGCCGGCUAACUACGUGCCAGCAGCCGCGGUAAUACGUAGGGCGCAAGCGUUAUCCGGAUUUAUUGGGCGUAAAGGGCUCGUAGGCGGCUCGUCGCGUCCGGUGUGAAAGUCCAUCGCUUAACGGUGGAUCUGCGCCGGGUACGGGCGGGCUGGAGUGCGGUAGGGGAGACUGGAAUUCCCGGUGUAACGGUGGAAUGUGUAGAUAUCGGGAAGAACACCA